UUAUUCGAGAAUUUUCAAUUUGUUGUGCGUGUGUGUGUGUCUUACACAUGCACACACACACACACAAGCAGAGAGUCUUCGGCUGUUUGCUGCAUUCGAACACUUUAUUCGACCUUGAGCAAUUCAACGUCGAAA